GAUGAACGCUGGCGGCGUGCCUAAUACAUGCAAGUCGAGCGAACGGACGAGAAGCUUGCUUUUCUGAUGUUAGCGGCGGACGGGUGAGUAACACGUGGAUAACCUACCUAUAAGACUGGGAUAACUUCGGGAAACCGGAGCUAAUACCGGAUAAUAUUUUGAACCGCAUGGUUCAAAAGUGAAAGACGGUCUUGCUGUCACUUAUAGAUGGAUCCGCGCUGCAUUAGCUAGUUGGUAAGGUGACGGCUUACCAAGGCAACGAUGCAUAGCCGACCUGAGAGGGUGAUCGGCCACACUGGAACUGAGACACGGUCCAGACUCCUACGGGAGGCAGCAGUAGGGAAUCUUCCGCAAUGGGCGAAAGCCUGACGGAGCAACGCCGCGUGAGUGAUGAAGGUCUUCGGAUCGUAAAACUCUGUUAUUAGGGAAUAACAUAUGUGUAAGUAACUGUGCACAUCUUGACGGUACCUAAUCAGAAAGCCACGGCUAACUACGUG
rnacentral:rRNA from 1 species